CAAGAAGUGGCUAGCACACUGCAGACCUUGGAAAGCUAUGAACAAGAGGAACAUGGUUUGGAAAUGUUUGUCCCAGCCACCAUGUCCAGAUGAGGAAACAGAAUUCCAUGGAAGUGGAAUGACCAGCACUUGGUCCCACAGCUGGAUGUGGCCCAGCCAGGGCUGAAGCCAGACGGUGGAGUCUCAGCCUGGACUGUUCAGACUUGGGUCUUUCCCUCCAUCCUUCACCCACCACACACCUUGAUUUAACCCAGGAAAAAACUUUCCAGUGGGCCACAGAAAUGGAGCAGAUUCUGCUCGGAUAGAGACUGCUUCUGAGGUUCAUCUGUGUCUUCAGCAGAAUCCCCCAGGCUGGUGGACGCAGGAGGGAGCGAGGAGGCAGGAGUCCCCACGGACAUGGCUGCACAGCCUGGGGCCACAGGGCUUCCAAGAGGGAGCCAGUCUGCAGCAGAAAAGCCCAGAGGGCAGCUUCCGCACACACACAAGCACAGCCCCCACCCCCGACACUGCAGACAGGGCCUCUUCCGGAAGGCGCUCCCCCAAGCUCAUGUCCCACAGCCUGGGCUUGUUGGAGGCCAUCUGGCCUGCAGAUGCUGGUGAGCCUCCAUGGUGUCUGUCCCCACUGUGGCAGGGACAAAGUCCCCAAGAGGAAGAGAGGACCUGACUGCUCUUCAGAGCUUGACACACAGCACCCCCAGCCAGAAGCUGACCUCCCACUUGUUUGAGGCAGUGUUCAAGGGGCUGUCCACAGCAAGAGAGAUGGGACUGGGCUCCAUCUCCAAAGAGGCCUCCCUGAGCCAGCACAGAGGAAGGACAAAGAAAAGAUUGAAAAAAGCAGAGUUGGGGCUCUCUGGUGCCAUUGCGCUGCCUCCAUUCAGCUAAGAUGCCCUGCCUCUCCUUCCACCUAAAGCAGCUUCUGCCACUUAGGAGACCCCCCUCUCCCCAAACACUGAAUGGCACGGGUUGGCCAGCUUAGGAACUCCGUUGACUAAGCCAGACCUUCCUCCUUUCCGCCUGCCCCUAGAGUGUGAGAGGGCACAGCAAGCAGCUGUCCUCCCUGCUGGUGGUCACCACCUCCAGCACUGGCUCUGUUUCCCUUUGAACAUUAAUUAGCAGGUGGGUUCUGAUUUGAGAGUGAAGCAUUCUUUGGGGGUGCCCAGCUGAGAGCAGUGGUCUGGUGGAGCAGCGUGCAGGACUCUCUGGAAGGCUCACCCGUUAUAGCAGAGCUGGAAAUGUGAUUUCCAGGCCUGAGUCGGAUGGUGGGGGAGGGUCGCCCUCCAGCCUGGUGACUGGAGGUGAAUUCCCGGAUCUCCUGGGUCUUGGCUUCUUCCUCUGUGAACUCUGACUUGGGGGUUGUUGGGAGGUGAUUUAGUGCUGUUCUAACAUAUGCUGGUAUCUGCCCUUCACAACGCGGGGACAGAGGCGGAUGGCAGUGUUUUCACUGCUGUCCCUGUGGACAUGGAGGGUGCUAUGUGGGGAGAAGUGCCACAACCCAAAAUCUCAGCACAUUAGUCCUGAGUGGAAAACCUCCUCUGACAGUUUCUUCAGCAAGCAAAGUGCAUUUCUACUGUGCUGAUCACCCUCAUCCCACUUGAUCAUGUUCAUACCCAGACCUGAGCUAGACCCUCAACCAAAUUAGUCCCCAGCCAAUCUGGGACCUCUUGGAGACCGUAGGGUAAGGAAAAGUGGUGAGGGACAUAGCUUACUUGAGCUUAGGAUUCCUUUGGUUCCUGAAGGUAAGGAGGGAAACACUUGGGCUGAUGGAGGGCCUAUUUCAGGUCUCACCAACAAAGAAGGGACAGGUGAAAUAAGAAUAC
rnacentral:lncRNA from 1 species